rnacentral:sRNA from 1 species
CUUCCUCGAUCUGCUGCGGACAGAUGAAGUGGAUGUGGGAAUCGAAACCGCCUGCCGUGACGAUCUUGCCCUCGCCGGCGAUAACUUCCGUUCCUGGACCGACGAUGAUGGUGACGCCGGGCUGGGUAUCGGGGUUGCCGGCCUUGCCGAUGGCGACGAUGAUGCCGUCCUUCAGCCCGAUAUCGGCUUUGUAUAUGCCGGUAUAAUCCACGAUGAGAGCAUUCGUGAUGACCGUGUCGACGGCUCCGUCGGCGCGGGCGACCUGGCUCUGGCCCAUCCCGUCGCGGAUG